CGACGCUUCUGCUCCUUCUGCUUCCACUAGGGAAGUAAAGCCAAGAAGGAAAAGAAGUGGAGACAAACGAAGAGCCAGCAAAAUCCCCCCAAAGCACAACACCCAGACUUCACGGCUCGGUGGACACCCCCAGACUCGCUGUAGACUUCACGGCUAGGUGGACACCCCCAGACUCGCUGUAGACUUCACGGCUCGGUGGACACCCCCAGACUCGCUGUAGACUUCACGGCUCGGUGGACACCCCCAGACUCGCUGUAGACUUCACGGCUAGGUGGACACCCCCAGACUCGCUGUAGACUUCACGGCUCGGUGGACACCCCCAGACUCGCUGUAGACUUCACGGCUCGGUGGACACCCCCAGACUCGCUGUGGACUUCACGGCUAGGUGGACACCCCCAGACUCGCUGUGGACUUCACGGCUCGGUGGACACCCCCAGACUCGCUGUGGACUUCACGGCUCGGUGGACACCCCCAGACUCGCUGUGGACUUCACGGCUAGGUGGACACCCCCAGACUCGCUGCGGACUUCACGGCUAGGUGGACACCCCCAGACUCGCUGCAGACUUCACGGCUAGGUGGACACCCCCAGACUCGCUGCAGACUUCACGGCUAGGUGGACACCCCCAG